GACAGAGGGUGCAAACGUUGUUCGGAAUUACUGGGCGUAAAGCGCGUGUAGGCGGCUAAGUGUGUCGGGCGUGAAAUCCCACGGCUCAACCGUGGAAGUGCACCCGAAACUACGUAGCUAGAGUCCUGGAGAGGAAGGUGGAAUGCUUGGUGUAGAGGUGAAAUUCGUAGAUAUCAAGCGGAACACCGGUGGCGAAGGCGGGUCUCUGGGCCGGAUACUGACGCUGAGGAGCGAAAGCGUGGGGAGCGAACAGG
rnacentral:rRNA from 1 species